AAUCAAGCCGUUCUCCUAGUGUUUGUUGAGUUGUGUUUAUGGCAGAUGGCCCGGCAUCAGCGCUGCCAGAAGUCCCUAUCGGGGGAAUCCUUCGUUUUCUAUGAGGGUGUCCUGAAUCGCCAUGAGUCUGAAGGUGACGUCACGGACACACUCAGAAACGAUCUGGCCAAGGCCACGGAUCUGAACAUUUCCGCCAUCGAAAAGUGCUUCAAAUUUAACAAACAGAUUGACAUCAAGGUUCUAUCUGACCUACAAAUAAAGACACUGGGCUGGACAAAUAUAGAGGAAGCCAUUAAAACAGCAAUGGAAAAUCAGGGCGAUGCCAAUAAAGACCUUAACGUCAUCAUAGGGCCUUUCUACGUCAAUGUCGCCAUGAUAGCAGAGAGAAUGGGAAUACCUUACAUCAUCACCGACUACAAAGGAUUUGAUUGGAUUGACGUAAACCGCGUGAGAAACCACGUGACUUGGAAGACCAUGCUAGACUUGAAGCCUCCUUCCCACCAAGUUAACAUGGCGGUGGUGGAUAUGAUGAAGGCCUACGGUUGGAACUUAGCAAUUGUGGUCAAGCCGGACGACCAGACAUCAGACCAAGAAUGCAACGAUAUGCUGGCUCAGAUGAUGAAAAGGGAGAUCUCGCCGAUCGCCUACUCUCUGGACGUCACUUCUCGCGAGAAAAUGGAGGAGCAGACGUCAGAGCUCUUGCGAACGGCUCAAUUGUUGAACAUCAGGACUGUUGUCGUCUGUAGCCCGAGAGACUACCGUCAACGCAUCAUAGAAACCGUUCUGAACACGUCGAGAACGUUUGGCAUGAUGAGCGAUGAAACUAGGAAUUUUAUUCUACUUGAUACGGAUUUUUACUUACAAAGUUUGAAUGAGAGCAACAUUAUCCGCAAUAGAUACUUUAAUGCCGACAGUCAGCUGCUAGCCUUUAGAUAUCUUGAUGAGGUAAAAGACUUAAAAUCGCCAACACAGGCCAUAGCUAAUGACGUUUCCCGCCUUAUUGUCGAAGCCAAGAAGAGGUACAUGGAGGCGGUGGGAAAAGUAGCCAAAAUUGAUGGCAAGAUGUUUCUGGAGAGUAUGAAGGAGGUAUUAUAAUAUUGUUAGUUGAUAUGACGUGGGGCCAUGUCAAACGUUAAAUCUCAAUUCAAGAUUCUAUCUAAUUCAAUUUAAGCAUAGCUUGCUUAUUUUUGGAAGUCACCGAGGCUGUGCUGACAAAUUGAAUACUGCAAGUUAGCUUUCUAUACUCUGUAAGAUACUAGUAUCCUCGAUUCAAAUUUUGCUUAAAUACUCGAUAUUUGUAAAUACCUCAGGGUUCAAACGAUCUUCAUUCAAAAGUAUGAAAAAUUUCCAUAUUUUCUCCCUUGAAAUACCCCCUCUAGCAUAUCAGGUUUUAAUACACGGCUUAAACAUUUGAUGUCUACGUGGACUUUGUAUUGCAACAGACCCGGAUGAUAACGUUGAAAAAUUGUGCGAGGUAUUCCGAGUGACUUCCGAAUUGAGAAAAGAUGUCAACGUUCCCUAUUAUGAAUGAAAUCAGUUUUCGUUCCUGUGAAUUUUCCAAGUAAAAAAUGAUAAUGUGUAAAUGAAGUUAUCUUGGAUAUUUUCCCUUUUAUCAAUUUCAAUUGAACUUCUUUCACAGGUAUGUGUAUUUUUGUUUAAAAAUCGGCAAAUGUGCUGUAUUAAUAAUUUGGGACAGACUAUAAAUUCUAUAUUCAGAUUGAUGUUUAUUUGUAUGAAGUAUUUGUGCAUCGUCGCUUUAAAGCCUUUAUAUACACGCUCUUAGUCAGAUUAACAUAUUACUUAGUUCGCUUCUGCAACUAGAAAUAAAGUUACAGAAACUUUGUAGAGAAAAAUCUUUUUAAUAAACAAGUAGAUAUG
rnacentral:misc_RNA from 1 species